GGAGGAGGAAACACUGUUUUCUCAAGGCUACUUCCCUCAUCCACUUUCACCCAAGUCACCCGCAACAUAAUUGGCAAGCCACUCUGGAGGAAAAGUGAAGAAACUUCAGAGAUAGUUCUCCAGGAGAAGGGAAGACAACCUGUGAAAGUUUGCAGGGUAAAAUCAGCUCUGUCUACGCCAUCAGACUCAACAGAGAGCAAAUCGAACAACUGCUGUGAACCUCUUGAGUGAGGACUUGAAGAAAACACUAAAAGCCUUUGACACCUCUGGAACCAACUGCCUGGGCCCCAUUAACACUAAGUUACCACGAGAUUUCACUCUCUUACACAGAUGCAAAUCCUGAGUUCUUUGGAGAUGGAGAAACUGAAGCACCAUCCAGAGAAGGGUGGACCCCCUCAGCAAAGGAGAAGCGACAGGAGAAUCUAAAGAUCCUGGUGGAACAUGAAAAGACCAUCCAAGAAUCAAAGGUUUUCCAUGUCAACAACCAGAUUACCUUUCAUGUAUGCAGAGAACUCCAGGUCAAGACAAUCUGGAGAAACCGUAUAUAACCUUCUCCCUAUAGUCAUUGUUAGCUGUUUUUACUCUGGAGAAGCUCAUAUUCUCUCCAGAAUAUGUAUCUCUCACUUUCU